UGUCCCUACGGGACGCAGCAGUGGGGGAUAUUGCACAAUGGGGGGAACCCUGAUGCAGCGACGCCGCGUGGGUGAAGAAGCGCCUCGGCGCGUAAAGCCCUGUCAGCAGGGAAGAAAAUGACGGUACCUGAAGAAGAAGCCCCGGCUAACUACGUGCCAGCAGCCGCGGUAAUACGUAGGGGGCAAGCGUUAUCCGGAUUUACUGGGUGUAAAGGGAGCGUAGGCGGCGCGUUAAGUCUGAUGUGAAAACCCGAGGCUCAACCACGGGAGUGCAUUGGAAACUGGCGGGCUGGAGUGCCGGAGAG
rnacentral:rRNA from 1 species